GGGAAUUCGAUUGGCGGACGGGUGAGUAAUGCUUGGGAACUUGCCUUCAGGAGGGGGAUAACAGUUGGAAACGACUGCUAAUACCGCAUAAUGUCUCCGGACCAAAGCGGGCUUCGGCUCGCACUGAAGAGAGGCCCAAGUGAGAUUAGCUAGUUGGUAAGGUAAAGGCUUACCAAGGCGACGAUCUCUAGCUGUUCUGAGAGGAAGAUCAGCCACACUGGGACUGAGACACGGCCCAGACUCCUACGGGAGGCAGCAGUGGGGAAUAUUGCACAAUGGGGGAAACCCUGAUGCAGCCAUGCCGCGUGUGUGAAGAAGGCCUUCGGGUUGUAAAGCACUUUCAGUUGUGAGGAAAGGUUGGUAGUUAAUACCUGCCAGCUGUGACGUUAACAACAGAAGAAGCACCGGCUAACUCCGUGCCAGCAGCCGCGGUAAUACGGAGGGUGCGAGCGUUAAUCGGAAUUACUGGGCGUAAAGCGGACGCAGGCGGUUUGUUAAGCUAGAUGUGAAAGCCCCGGGCUCAACCUGGGAUGGUCAUUUAGAACUGGCAGACUAGAGUCUUGGAGAGGGGAGUGGAAUUCCAGGUGUAGCGGUGAAAUGCGUAGAUAUCUGGAGGAACAUCAGUGGCGAAGGCGACUCCCUGGCCAAAGACUGACGCUCAUGUCCGAAAGUGUGGGUAGCGAACAGGAUUAGAUACCCUGGUAGUCCACACCGUAAACGCUGUCUACUAGCUGUGUGUGAAUUUAAUUCGUGCGUAGCGAAGCUAACGCGAUAAGUAGACCG
rnacentral:rRNA from 1 species